AUGGAACAUGUUUACUACCUCACCAAGAUAUGCUAUGCCUCCUUAGGUAUGAAGAGGAACAUCACCAAGAAGCUCAGGAGCAUCACCAAGGAGAAGGAGGACCACCCCAAGGUCGUGCGAACCAAGAAGAAGGACAACAGCAGCAGCACAGGAGGCUCCAGGCGACCCCGUGCGCAUGGGCCCCAAGACCCCGUGCCCACGGACUACACAGGAAGUUGGCGCUGGAGCACCCCGUGUGCACGGGCCUGUAUCGUGCCCACGGGACGCCCGUGCGCACGGGCCCAACUUACCCCGUGCGCACGAGCCUCCCAGGAUGGCCGGCUGAGAUUGCAUCUUCGGCUCCUCUUCAUCUCCUUCGACCCCAAGGCUAUAUAUUCCGUACCAAGAACCAUGUUUAGGGUUAGCAAAGUAUUAGAUGAGAUAUUUGUGAGCUUUGCUCCUUCACCUUCCCUCUUGGAGGAUCAAGACCCCCUAGGGAAGAAUCCUUGUGGAUUUCAAGACCUCCAUAAGGAGAAGACUAUCUUCAAGCCCCCAUCUCCUUUGGAUUUGGGAUGA
rnacentral:rRNA from 1 species